rnacentral:tRNA from 1 species
GCGCCAGUGGCGUAAUGGCGUAGGGCAUUCUCUUCCGGUAAGCAGAAGAUGCGGGUUCGUGUCCCGCUUGGCGCU